rnacentral:rRNA from 1 species
AUUGAACGCUGGCGGCAGGCUUAACACAUGCAAGUCGAGCGGGGGAAGGUAGCUUGCUACCGGACCUAGCGGCGGACGGGUGAGUAAUGCUUAGGAAUCUGCUCAUUAGUGGGGGACGACAUCUCGAAGGGGAUGCUAAUACCGCAUACGUCCUACGGGAGAAAGCAGGGGAUCUUCGGACCUUGCGCUAAUAGAUGAGCCUAAGUCGGAUGAGCUAGUUGGUGGGGUAAAGGCCUACCAAGGCGACGAUCUGUAGCGGGUCUGAGAGGAUGAUCCGCCACACUGGGACUGAGACACGGCCCAGACUCCUACGGGAGGCAGCAGUGGGGAAUAUUGGACAAUGGGGGGAACCCUGAUCCAGCCAUGCCGCGUGUGUGAAGAAGGCCUUAUGGUUGUAAAGCACUUUAAGCGAGGAGGAGGCUACUCUAGUUAAUACCUAGGGAUAGUGGACGUUACUCGCAGAAUAAGCACCGGCUAACUCUGUGCCAGCCGCCGCCGUAA